rnacentral:tRNA from 1 species
CAUUGAACAACCAUAGAGGUAUUGGAUUUUUAAUCCAAUAAUAAUACAUUAUAUAUUUUCAGU